UACGUAGGGUGCAAGCGUUAAUCGGAAUUACUGGGCGUAAAGCGUGCGCAGGCGGUGAUGUAAGACAGAUGUGAAAUCCCCGGGCUCAACCUGGGAACUGCAUUUGUAACUGCAUCGCUAGAGUACGGCAGAGGGGGAUGGAAUUCCGCGUGUAGCAGUGAAAUGCGUAGAUAUGCGGAGGAACACCGAUGGCGAAGGCAAUCCCCUGGGCCUGUACUGACGCUCAUGCACGAAAGCGUGGGGAGCAAACAGG
rnacentral:rRNA from 1 species